UACGAGGGGGGCGAGCGUUGUCCGGAAUCAUUGGGCGUAAAGAGCGUGUAGGCGGCCACUUAAGUCCUGCGUGAAAUCUUGCGGCUCAACCGCAAGCGGUCGUGGGAAACUGGGUGGCUAGAGUGCGGGAGAGGAGAGUGGAAUUCCUGGUGUAGCGGUGGAAUGCGCAGAUAUCAGGAAGAACACCCGUGGCGAAGGCGGCUCUCUGGAACGCAACUGACGCUGAGACGCGAAAGCGUGGGGAGCAAACAGG
rnacentral:rRNA from 1 species